rnacentral:lncRNA from 1 species
GGUCACUGUUCAGCUUCCCUGAACCUGAAGUUCAUCAAUUCAGCCAGGAUGGUUGGUCCAACAGCUUUGUGGAUGGGGCUGUCUUCUCUCCCCCAUGCACAGGACAUGGGGAAAUAAAGCUGAGGGCGAGUUGGCUUUCACAGUGUCCCGUGCAAGUGCUGCGUGGGCUGCUGUGGGGCUGUCCCGCUCAGUCAUGGAUCAUGUGUUACGGUGCUGAAAAGCCAGUCUCUUACAUGUUACAGACCCAAGCUGUUGAUAAAAGUGUUCAAGUGACUGUGAAUUCUGGCACCUAAGAAGAUCCACCUACCUAUCAGGAUGGGGGUAGAGGGUGGAGAUCAAAGACCAGAGUGGUCCUGCAGCAGGUCUCAGCCAUUCCUAAUGGAUAUUUUAAUAGACAAUGAAAGCAUGCCAACAAAUUCUUCCUCUGUGAAGAGGAGGCAGGCAGAGGGUUGAGACCUUCAGCCCCCAGACAUGGUGGGCUGGCAAAAACUCUCUGUGGUAUUGUGUUUCCAAAUUGAAUGCAUCUUCCCUUUGUCUUCUGGUAACCUUUCUGAGAGAAGAUAUUCUUGCAGGUCUGGCAGGUACUUCUCUGCUCCUUGGCCGGUGAGAACCACAACUCUCCACCCUCCAUGCGAACUAUUAGCAUUUCAUGAUCUAGAAAAACAAACUAAACAAUGAAGCAAUAAAAACAGGCAAAAUGCAAUCU